AUUGACUUUGUAAUAGCUUUGCAAAGCCAAGGUUUGUUUCAGAUGACUUGGAUUUUAUGUUAUAAAAUAGGGUUUACAUUUGGAUGAUUUCAAGAAUUCUGUAAUUGAUCUAUGGGUGAAAUUUUGUGGAUUCAUGGUUAUAGUUGUGUUUAAUAUGUAUUGUGAAUUUGAACUUGAUCUAACGGAUUGAAUUGAGGAAUAUUGAGGUUUAAGUUGGUUAAGGUCUCAAAAAGUAGAAUUUUAGGACUAUUGAGGAUUUUUAAGAUUUCUUGCAAUCUAAUGGCUGGAUUAGAGUGAAACUUAUGUGAGAGAAUAUUAGACUUGUU
rnacentral:lncRNA from 1 species